UGAGCAACCUGCCCUUGACUCUGGAAUAACAGUUGGAAACAGCUGCUAAUACCGGAUACGACCUCCGACGGCAUCAUCUGUAGGUGGAAAGCUCCGACGGUCAAGGAUGGGCUCGCGGCCUAUCAGCUUGUUGGUGAGGUAAUGGCUCACCAAGGCGACGACGGGUAGCCGGCCUGAGAGGGUGACCGGCCACACUGGGACUGAGACACGGUCCAGUCUCCUAGGAGG
rnacentral:rRNA from 1 species